GCUUCCAUAGCUCAGUUGGUCAGAGCUUCGUACUAAUAAUUACUUCAAGUAAUAGUUGGUGAUGCGGAGGUCGCAGGUUCAAGCCCUGCUGGGAGCA